UACAGAGGUCUCAAGCGUUGUUCGGAUUCAUUGGGCGUAAAGGGUGCGUAGGCGGGUUGGUAAGUCCGUGGUGAAAUCCCCAAGCUUAACUUGGGAACUGCCGUGGAUACUAUCAAUCUUGAAUAUCGUGGAGGUAAGCGGAAUAUGUCAUGUAGCGGUGAAAUGCUUAGAGAUGACAUAGAACACCAAUUGCGUAGGCAGCUUACUACACGAUCAUUGACGCUGAGGCACGAAAGCGUGGGGAGCAAACAGG
rnacentral:rRNA from 1 species